GCGUGGUGGUUCAGUGGUAGAAUUCUUGUCUACCAUGCAUGAGACCUGGGUUUGAUUCCAGCCAAUGCA
rnacentral:tRNA from 1 species